AUGAACCUGAACAGAGUCCCUGGUAGGGCACAAGGAGAUUCACCUUGGCCAGCAAUACACAUGGUCCAGUUAUUCAAGGAGCCAGAUUUUCUCUGGAGGGAUGGGGGCUGCAUUAUGCAGAGACCCGCCCUGGGCAGUUGGAAGAACACACUGCUUUGCAAACUGUUGCUGAGCCUGAGUAUUUCCAAGCCUUCCAAAACCCUUGGUACAGUCUGUCCUCACAUUGCCAACUGAGGGAAUAAGCCUGAAUACUUGGUCCCCCACAUACUCCACUGAGGAAGCUCAUCAUAUUCCAGUGUCAUUCUGAAAGAAAGAUUCUCAACUAUACAUUUAGCAAUCAUCACCAAUCUGACAAAGUUGACCUGAAUCUGUCUUCAAAAAUUCUGAAGAAAAAAUGAAUGGAAAUUGGAAGUUAUAAUUUUACCAAUAUCAAGCCAAAGAUAGACAUGUUUCAUCUUCAUUUACAUCAAGCUUUUAGCCUCCAAAAUUUUAAAACCAUUUCUAAUGUUACCUCCAUCAUUUAGCAAUCAAAAUUUUAGGGAGUUUACUUGAAACCCAAGUUGAGUUUGGAAGUUUGACUCAUUUGAUGUGGCCUAGUUAAAUACAGCAAUUCCUUUCUUUUUGCCACAGGAGGCAGCUUGGGGUAGACAAUUUGGGUCUGUCUGAUAGCAAAGACCUGAGUUUGAAUCUUGACUGACAAUUGUUCAGUAGCUAUGUUACUUUCAGAAGGCUUUUAACCCCUCUAAUCCUCAGCUUCAUAAUUUGUAAAAUGGGUAUUGUAAGACCAACAGCAUGUAAUCGUAAUGAGUCUGGCAUAAAGUAAAUGCCAAUCCUGUAAAAUGCUAAUCCUGUUUUUUAAUCUAAUUAGAUGUCUAAUUUUAAUUUUAAAUGAAGUUAAGCAGGAUGUCUUUUUUCCGUUUUUAAUAUUUUUAAAGCUGGGAGGAAGAAUCUUUGAAGGCAAGUUUGUUUUUCAAGUUUGUGAAGAGUUACACAAAUGAUUCUAGAGUAAAAUGGCCUUAUACCAAAUGUUUUACCUACUCAUAGUGCCAAAUAUCCACAAUGUCAAACAAGAACUCCAAGUGUUCUCAGCUUUAAUUUCACACCAAUGCCACUUUAACAAAACAGUCUCCUUAGCAGGGUACUUCAGUGCUGAAUCAGUAUUGACUCAGAGGUUUAUAAAUACCACCACUUGUAUUACUUGGAGUUUUCUUUAGUGGUUCCCUUUCGCCCUCUCUAAGUUCAGUUAAGCCUGACCCUGCAAAGGGAGUAAUAU
rnacentral:lncRNA from 1 species